rnacentral:lncRNA from 10 species
UUUUGUUUCUGUCAGGCUGUCCCUGGCCGGGGUUCUGUAACGCUUGUGUGGGCCGCAGGUGGAGGUGUUGGGAAAGCGCGGAGGAGAUGUUGUCCCCAGUGUCCCGAGACGCGUCUGAUGCUCUGCAGGGACGGAAGUGCCUGCGUCCCCGAUCGAGACGCCUGCCGCUCCCGGCAGCUGUCCGCGCCCACGGUCCUAUGGCGGAGCUAACGGACUCCGCGCGGGGGAGAACAUUAGUUUGGGGUGGGGACUGCGAGGAUGGAUACGAGGAGACCGGUAAGGAGGCUACUGCAGUGGAUUCCAGGAAUGCUUUGGUGGUGGAUGUACCAAGAGUAAUGGCAGGGCUGUGUGGUCUUUGAGGAUGUGUUUGUAUACUUCUCUCGGGAAGAAUGGGAGCUUCUUGAUGAUGCUCAGAGAC